AUGCCUCAUGGAAGAGGAUCUCCAGUGUUUGCAUCUAUUCAGUUGUUUGAUGUCACAUCACAUCACUGUUAUCUAUUUUUAAAACCACCUUCUAUAUACCAAUAUCUGUUUGUCUUUAAUCAUUUCAUAAGAAGUUCUAGAAGAAAAGAAAGGAUGGAUGGAAGGAAAAGUCAGAAAGUAAAGAUGAAGGAUGGAGAGAUGGAACAGUGCCUGCCAGAUGAGAGAACAGGGGAGCCUAUUUUGUCAUGGCUCUAAGUCAGGGAUCUGGUGCAGAUCCGCUUCAUCCAGGAAAACAGCUGUACCUGUAAACUGUCUACUCGAGCUGCACCCAAGUUACCCUGGCAUUCUGGACCCUGAGUGACACUGCCUCAAGCUGAACUACUGGAUAUUUUGGCAACCUGAUGGGCCCGCUACUGAAUACCCUGAAGAAAUACCACCACCCCAGGUAAAGAUAAAAUAUUUUAGAAACAGAAGUCCUGCCCAAACCCAGAUUCCACACACCCAUACUCUGGCCACAUGUCCCAACUCAUGUUUUUGAUUGAUGGCCACACAACUAAUGUUUCAAAAGGAGCUGCUCUUUUGCUGGGAAGACCCCCUUUUGCUUCAGAUAAAAGCCACACUUUCCAUCCACCUCCCUCCCUGUCUUUCGCUUCAGAUAAAAGCCACACUUUCCAUCCACCUCCCUCCCCGUAUUCCCUGAGCUAUAUGGGGCACAUAACAUUGUAUAAGCCUAAAGCGUUGAUUUGAUAUAUUUAUGUAUUGCAAAAGGAUUACCACCAGAGCAUUAGUUAACAUCUCCAUCCCAUCACAUAACUGCCAUUCCUUUUUGGUGCUGAGAACCCUUAAGAUCUAUUCUUAACAACUUUCAAGUAUGUAACAGUAUUAUUAAGGAUAAUCACCAUGCUAUAUAAUAGAUUCCCAGAACUUACUCAUCUUAUGACUGGAAGUUUGUACUCUUUGGCCAACAUCUCCCCACACCCCACUCCCAGUCCCUGGUAACCAAACUGAAAUCUCUCUUCUUGUACCUUCUACCAGUUGGGUCCUAUUUUCAACCCUUGGGUUCUACGGAGAAAUCUAAUCCUUAAAGUAAUACAUCAAAUAAUUAAAAAGUAUAAUCUCAUGUGCACCAGCUUCUCUCCUGUGGGUAAACAUUGUCUCUUUCCCCCAUGAUUUCAUGUAUGCCAUGGUUUCCAGUGUCUUCUUCAUCCUCUCUCAAUUUUGAAUUUGCUUUAAAUUUCUCUUAAAAUGCAGAAACCAGAACUUGGCACCCUACUACUAAAAACAGCCAGCUCAAAAUAGAAACUGCCAGCUUCUAUAUUCUGGACAUUUUAAAAAGCC
rnacentral:lncRNA from 1 species